AGGAGAACUGGUGUGGUCGGAUUCACAAUCCCAACAAAUUCAUGGUCAACUCCAGGAAGUUGUCGCUCAGCAACAAUCUGAGGAUAUCGAGCAUCCCAUGACUAGAGAUGAGAUUUUAUCCUCCGUUGUUGGUGAGAGAACAGGCUAUGUUCGUGGAAAAGGAUACGGAAAGAAGCCUCCUAAAAAGAGUAACAUUCAGCAGGCAAACAUAGAGGCCAGCGUGUCUUCUGCUAUUGAUAUUGUGCGUCAAGAGAUGUAAGCCGAGAUGGAUAGGAAGUUGCAAGAAGAACGUGAACAAAUGGCUGCUGAGUUGCGAAGAAAUAUGGAAAUUGAAUUGGAAAGGAAGUUGGCAGAGGAGCGUCAACACGCAAAUGAGGAGCGUCAACACGCAAAUGCAGAAA